rnacentral:rRNA from 1 species
AACGAACGCUGGCGGCAUGCCUAACACAUGCAAGUCGAACGAUGCUUUCGGGCAUAGUGGCGCACGGGUGCGUAACGCGUGGGAAUCUGCCCUUGGGUUCGGAAUAACAGUGAGAAAUUGCUGCUAAUACCGGAUGAUGUCUUCGGACCAAAGAUUUAUCGCCCAGGGAUGAGCCCGCGUAGGAUUAGCUAGUUGGUGGGGUAAUGGCCUACCAAGGCGACGAUCCUUAGCUGGUCUGAGAGGAUGAUCAGCCACACUGGGACUGAGACACGGCCCAGACUCCUACGGGAGGCAGCAGUGGGGAAUACUGGACAAUGGGCGCAAGCCUGAUCCAGCAAUGCCGCGUGAGUGAUGAAGGCCUUAGGGUUGUAAAGCUCUUUUACCCGGGAUGAUAAUGACAGUACCGGGAGAAUAAGCUCCGGCUAACUCCGUG